rnacentral:lncRNA from 1 species
UAUGCAAUUCAGUGAUUUUUAGUAGAUUUCCCAUGUUGUGAAACCAUUGCUAUCAAAUGGUUUUAGAACAUUCUCAUCACUCCACUAAGGUCCCUGCUGCUCCUUCACAGUUUAUCUCUGUUCCCACUCCCCGCCUCAGGCAAUCAGUAACUGCUUUAUAUAUAGAUCUGCCUCUUCUGGACAUUUUAUAUAAAUAGAAUCACAUAAUAUGUGGUUUUCCAGGUCUGAAUUAUUUCAUUUAGCCUGAUUCUGACGUGUGUGUUGUAGCUCAUAUCAAUAUUUCUUUUUAUUGUUAAAUGGUUUUCCACUGUAUGGAUAUAUGCUUGAAGAUAAACACGUUUUGUUUUUCCACUCAUCAGUUGGACAUUUGAGUUGUUUCCACUUUUUGGCUGAGUAAUCCUGCUAAGAACAGUUGUGUGCAAGCCUGUGUGUGGAAACCUGUAUGUCUUAAGCAAAAUGUGAUUGAGAGAUUCAUUUGUUCCUGGAAAACACAAAUAUUCAGGUCUGUUGUGUUCUGUGAAUCCAAGGAUCACAACUGCCUACGAACACUCUCCAUACAGCAACCAGAGUGGAUUUUUUUAAAAUGGAAAGUCAGAUCUCAAUCCUUCCUUCUGGUGGCUUCCAUCUCACUAAGAAUGAAGCCUUGUCACAGCCAGGAUGGUGCUGCCUGACCUGACCUCUGCUGACAUGUUUCACUUCAUCUCUUAUUACUUCCCUCACUCUUGACUUUACCAGUGUUGAUCUUGUCGCUCCUCAAACAUAAGAGCUUCUGCUGUCUUCCAAGUUCUUACAUAAACUAUUCCCCUUGCCUGGAAUGCUCUGCCCUGAUCUUCAUUUGGCUUGCCCUUUCUCAUUCAGGUUUCCCCUCAAUGGUUACUCACUAGAAACCCCUUCUAUGGUUACCCUAUCUGAAAUAGCAACCAUGUUUCUCUAUUAGCUUCUGCUGUUUCAUUUUCCAUCACCACCUAUAACCCAAUGAACUAAAUUUACCUUACUCAUUGUUGACUAUCUCCCAACCAGAAUGCAAGUAAUGAAGGAUAGUCAGAAGAAAAGCAGGCAGGGGACAAGCCCCUCUCCUCACACCCCCUCGCCCAAAGAAGAAAUCACCCUUAAAAGGAUUUUACACCACCCUGGAAGGAGCCCUCCACCCUUCCCCAAAUGAACAAUGCCUGAUAGGUAUAUGAGCGUGUGGACAAAAGCCUGAUUGGGUGACAGGCACAUGGAGGGUUAAUCAUAUUAAAACAGCCCGCCAAGAAGCCCAUAGAAACCCUCAGACUUGGGAACUCUGGUGGCAACCCUCUGGGAUCCCCUCCCUCUUCUGGAGCUUUGUACUAUUGCUCAAUAAACUUUGCUUUGCUGCCCACCACUCUCGGUCCGAUUUACCUCUUCAUUCUUCGAAGUGUCAUGACCAAGAACCACGGCGCUGAAGAACAAGGAAUAAUGCAACACAAGCUCAGGGAGGCAGGUACUUUGUUUAUCUUGUUCUGUGAUGUUUCUCUAGCACAAAGCAUGGUGAUAAAUGCUCCUUAAAUUUACUGAAUUAGUACACAAAUAAGAAGCAAAAUUUGACCCUCUUUUAUACUCUCUCUACAAUCUGUGAGAAUUCAGUUAGAUCAUGCUGUGAAUUAUAGUUUGUGAAUUUCUAAACCAGUGGACUGAAGGUCAUAUACUGGCAAGCCAUGCAUGUACCAUAUUUGGUCUGCACAUGUUUGUUUUAUGUAGCAGAUGCUUUGGAGCCCCAUUCCCAUUCCCUUGGCCCAUCUCUGUUUUCAGCUGCUGAGUGCUCAGGUUCACCUUCUGUUGACAAGGUCUCAAUUCAAGCAGGUAUAGAAUUAUUCUGCUUUCUGACUUGGGGCCUCUCCCAUGCCCUGGAGCCACUGGGUGUCUGUAUAAACACAGCCCUGAAGUGAGCUAGGUUAGUACUCCCCAGGGCAAAUGUCAGUCAUUAACCAAUGUAGGAGCCAUACCUCAUCCUCACUUGCCUCAGAGUGUUCUGAAAAAAAUUCACACUUCCCAGAAGUUCUCAGCCAAACUGAGUCCCUGUGCCUUCAGUGGAGACUUAAAUAACACUCCCUUAUACUGACUUCCUCUUCUCUUGUUUCACUCUCUCCGUUUGCUGGAAUUACAUCCUUAACAUGUGAUCUGCCUUCAGGAGAAGCCAAAUUGGGCCUAUGACUUACAGAGUUGGGUUUUUUUUUUUUUUUAAUUUGUAAUUAAUUGUCCAAAUUUAAAGCUCAAAAAAAUUUUCAUGUUUAAAUUCUGGGUAUGCCUUGUAUGGCAUUUGAUCUAAUACGGGAUUUAGGCUUGUCUAAUACUUUGGGGACCAUUUUCCACACCCUUGGUGGGAUAGUGUUUCAGACUGCAUAUGACUGAACCAGUCUCAUAAUUAAUAAUUCCUAAUUGGGAAGCCCAAGUAGGCUCAGCGGAUGAGCGUCUGCCUUUGGCUCAGGGUAUGAUCCCGGGAUCUGGGAUCAAGUCAUACAUCAAGCUUCCUACGAGGAGCCUGCUUCUCCCUCUGCCUAUGUCUCUGCCUCUCUCUAUCUCUGUGUCUCUCAUGAAUAAAUAAGUAAAUCUUAAAAAAAAAUCAUAAUAAUUCCUAAUUACUCUGUGUCUGACCUGUAGACCAUAGCAAAUUUAUCAUGUCUAACUACAACUCAAAUAAUCUCCUGCUAUUGUAUACCCGUAGCUCAAGAAUGAAUAUUGGGAAUAUUACAUCGUAUCCAGAUCUGUCACUUUUUGAAUGUCUUGAAGUUUUUCCUCUUGGGAAAUAUCUCUUUGUUCCUGGGAAAAUUGCCAACCACAGAGCACUCUAUCUAUAGGGGUAGGUACAUUAUCCAGGCUAGCCAAGGAGAGCCUUCUGUCAGCUACAGAAUUGGUACAGAGAACCAUGCUAGGCUGAUCAGAGUCAUCUCUUGAGAUUUUGCUGGACCCACACCCAAAGAUCUUGCAUCAUAUUCUUCUCACUGGGAUUGCUGUAGUUUGAUGUAAACCUAAAGCUGUCAAUGGACAUUUUUGCUAAAAUGUGGGGGAUUUUCCUUGAAGAUGGACUUAAUAGAAAGGAAAACAGAAAAUAAUGGGAAAAAAAGAGUAGGGAAAAGUUUAAACAAGACUAGGACUGAGGGAUCCCUGGGUGGCGCAGCGGUUUGGUGCCUGCCUUUGGCCCAGGGUGUGAUCCUGGAGACCCGGGAUUGAAUCCCACAUCGGGCUCCAGGUGCAUGGAGCCUGCUUCUCCCUCUGCCUGUGUCUCUGCCUCUCUCUCUCUCUGUGUGUGUGUGUGACUAUAAUAAAUAAAUAAA